GGGCAGUUACCCGAGUGGCCAAAGGGGUCAGACUGUAAAUCUGAUGGCUCGCGCCUACGGAGGUUCGAAUCCUCCACUGCCCACCA
rnacentral:tRNA from 1 species